rnacentral:rRNA from 1 species
GUUUAGGGGUAAACUGAGAAANCGAAAGGUCGAAGGGAGAAAUUCAUUCGCGUUUCGAAGUCGGCGUUCGGACGGUCGUGCGACGGGAAACGUUCGCGUUUUCCGCGCCCUCCGUUCGACGAACCGGCUACGAACGCGUGCACUUUUCUCCCGGUAGGACGUCGCGAUCCGUUGGGCGUCGGUCUAAGGCUCGCGGUGGAGCCCGUUUGUCAUCGUACGAACGGACCCGUGUGUCCCGGCCGACACGCUCGACGGUAUACGAAUGGUUCGGGGCCGCUCUUGGAGCGUCCGACUCGUGGCAAGCGCGCCAGAUGCGUCGGCGAUCGGACCUAGUGCCGAUUUCGACCUCUGGUGACUGUUGGCUGCGAAGUUCUCGGACAGACCUCGCGACCGAUCUGCGGCGCUAUAGCUUUGGGUACUUUCAGGACCCGUCUUGAAACACGGACCAAGGAGUCUAGCAUGUGCGCGAGUCAUUGGGAAUCACUAAACCUAAAGGCGCAAUGAAAGUAAAGGUCUUCCUUGCGAAGACCGAGGGAAGACGGGCGGUUUACCCUUAAAAGUGGCCGCUCAGCAUUCCCGGGGCGUCUCGUUCUCAUCGCGAGAAGAGGCGCACCAAGAGCGUACACGCUGGGACCCGAAAGAUGNUGAACUAUGCCUGGUCAGGACGAAGUCAGGGGAAACCCUGAUGGAGGUCCGUAGCGAUUCUGACGUGCAAAUCGAUCGUCGGAACUGGGUAUAGGGGCGAAAGACUAAUCGAACCAUCUAGUAG